UUUGUGAAGUUAGAUUAGUUUCAGGGAAGAAAUGAAACCUUUAUGUGAUUUCUGUGGAGCUGCGAGGGCUGUGGUAUACUGCACAUCAGAUUCUGCUCAUCUUUGUUUGAGUUGUGAUGGAUAUGUACAUUCAGCUAAUGCACUAUCACAGAGGCACCUUCGUUCACUUAUUUGCGACAAUUGCGAUUUAAAGCCUGCAGUUGUUCGGUGCAUUGAAGAUAAACUGUCUUUGUGUGAGAACUGCAGCGCUAAUGGGAAUUGCUGCUUGGAUCUUGGACAUCAUCGGCAGACACUAAGUUAUUACUCAGGAUGUCCUACUCUUACAGAGCUUUCCAAAGAAGUAAAUACUAGAUGGGGACAACAAGGGAUGAUGCCAAUGAGCAACUGUUGGGAAACUGGACAACAAGAACAACAUAGCUUGAUGGUAGCCACCAAACUGAAUGAGUUGGAGCAUUGUGUUUCCUCAGAACCUUGGACGGAUCCAUCUUCAGUGGUUCCUCCUAAUGUGAAUUCGGUAUCUUGCAGUGUAGAUAAACCACCAUCAUACCCUGAGAACCCAAACUUGUCAAAGGGUUGUUCUCCAUUGAAGGAUGUUGGAGUUUGUGAUGGUGGCGAUCUCUGUGAUGGUUUCAACAUGGAUGAUAUUGGGUUAAAUUUUGAGAACAGCGAUGAGAUUUUUGGCUGCUCACAAAGUCAGUCCAAUAUUGUUCUUGAUGACGUGCCUAUUGAUUGCUUAUUUAUGGACAAGAACUUCUCAGUUGCAGAUUCUAAUGCUCCCAAUGAGAAUGCAAUAGAGGCAUCAUCAUCAGGGCAACAUGACUGCUUGGCUCUUCAUUCUUCUUGUGCUGCUGGGUCUGCUCCUGGAGCAGAUCAGGUACUUCUAAAUCCUGGUUGCAACAGAAACAUCAGGCUAAAUUUUCCUACUGGACAAGUCCAUUCAGGCAUGCCACUUUCAUUCUCCAACCUGAUCGGAGAAAGUAGUAUUGCUGAUUAUCAAGACUCUGGAGUAUCAUCAGUUUUUCUAACAAAUGAAUCACCUUGGGAUUCAAAUUUGGAAACUAGUUGCCCCCAGGCAAGGGACAAAGCAAAGCUCAGAUACAAUGAAAAGAAGAAAACACGAAUGUUUGGGAAACAAAUAAGAUAUGCUUCUCGUAAAGCCAGAGCAGAUACCAGAAAGCGCGUGAAAGGUAGAUUUGUGAAGGCUGGUGAAGAUUAUGACUAUGAUCCUCUUGUAGAAAGAAAUGACUAAUAUUUCUGGUUCUCUUCCUCUGCAAUAUGCAAAGCUUGUUGGUUAAGACGGAGCCUACAGGUGUGGGACUGGUGUUGUUGGUUAUGCGAGCCUGCUGGGUUUUUCCUAACUCCCUCUUGGAAAUGACAGUAGACUUGGAUGGGUGUUGAUGGGAGGCGAGGGCUACUGUUGUGUAAAAACUAAUUCCGUUUUGCAAUCUGCUGGAGCAUUGGGGGGGAGAGAAAUUCGUGCACUUUUGAAGCAAAAAGAAGAGGAAGCAUGUUUGUGGCUAUAAUUCAAUGAGAUUGAUGUCUAGCUGGUGUUCAAUAAUUUUGGAUUUUUGGUAGUUUAAUACUUUCAGAUUUUGGGAAGAGUGGGGUAAUUAUGUAAAUGGGUGGGUUCAUUUUCUGGUUUAGCCUUUGCAGUCUACAUGUAAAGGGGUGAGAUAGUUUUUUGUGGAAUGUCCUUUGUGGAUUGAUCCUUUUGUACAGCAUCCUGUGUGUACAGGUUUCUCUUUUUGAAAAUAUUAUUAAUACAGAUGCUGAUACUCUUAAAUUUUCA